UAAAAUCAUAAAUUGAUUUAACGUAUUAUCAUUUUUUUAGACUCCUGCAGAAAAUCCAGAAAGCAUUCUAAGAAAAGGAAAAAAGAGAAACAACACAAAAAAGUAUGGUAUAGUAGUUCAUGUAAUUUAUAUUUAGUUUUUAUUAUAUUUUAUUUUCAACUUACUGUAAACUAAGUGUAUUUUAUUUUGCGUUUUGGAGCAGAAAGGAAAGAAAGAGAAGCGGCAUAAACGUAAAAAGGACAAGAAAACCAAAGGAGGAGAAGAUAACUCGGGACCUGUACAGAUCUCCAAGUACUUGAAGGACAGGAAGAAAGGCAAGUACAGCAUGAUUUCAGGGAAGAAGAUAAAGAUGAAAGUAAAGAAGUCAAAGAAAGACAAACAGCGGGAUAAAAAUCGAGCAGAACUUCUUGAGUUCUUAAACUCUACCCUGUGAUCCCACUGUGGAUGCCAGUAGUGGUGCUGAGGCUUGGACACAUCCGCAGAUCUCAGGAAACAACAGCUACAGCUUUGCCAGAGAUCAAAAUGAAAGAGUUUUGAGGAAGAAAUGAUGAAUUUAAUGUGCAUCGACACAGACAGCAACAAACUCAAUGAAGUGAGGUAACUGUAUCUCUAGCAGCAAAGUGAGAUGUGUUCAAACCACUAGCUACAUUUUUACUGUGCUGCUACUCAAAGGAAGAUUAAAAAUUGUCAUCAGGUAUGAUCAGUCAGAGCAUCGAAAGUGGAUGGACUGUAGAAA
rnacentral:lncRNA from 1 species